AAGCUCGUAGUUGAAUUUCGGGAUUGGUAUAUCGGUCGUGCCUUCGGGGAUGUACUGGUAGUUAUCAAUCUCCACCUUCUAGUGAACCAUUAUGCCUUUUACUAGGUGUAAUAGGAAGCUAGGACUGUUACUUUGAAAAAAUUAGAGUGUUUAAAGCAGGCUUCUAAGUUUGAAUAGAUUAGCAUGGAAUAACGAAAUAGGACGGCAUUAUUCUAUUUUGUUGGUUUUUAGGAUCACCGUAAUGAUUAAUAGGGUAUUAGGUGGUGUAGGACGGGGCCGGGUCGGUCGGAACGGACGG
rnacentral:rRNA from 1 species